rnacentral:snRNA from 1 species
AGCUUUGCACAGUGGCAGUAUCGUAGCCAAUGAGGUUUAUCUGAGGCACGAUUAUUGCUAAGUGCUAAUUGAAUGCUGUGGGGUUAUCAGUAAGCUAUUGAGGAAACCAGGUUCAUGGAGGUUGAAUAUUCAG